rnacentral:rRNA from 1 species
AGUGAACGCUGGCGGUAGGCCUAACACAUGCAAGUCGAACGGCAGCACAGUAAGAGCUUGCUCUUACGGGUGGCGAGUGGAGGACGGGUGAGGAAUACAUCGGAAUCUACUUUUUCGUGGGGGAUAACGUAGGGAAACUUACGCUAAUACCGCAUACGACCUACGGGUGAAAGCAGGGGAUCUUCGGACCUUGCGCGAUUGAAUGAGCCGAUGUCGGAUUAGCUAGUUGGCGGGGUAAAGGCCCACCAAGGCGACGAUCCGUAGCUGGUCUGAGAGGAUGAUCAGCCACACUGGAACUGAGACACGGUCCAGACUCCUACGGGAGGCAGCUGUGGGGAAUAUUGGACAAUGGGCGCAAGACUGAUCCAGCCAUACCGCGUGGGUGAAGAAGGCCUUCGGGUUGUAAAGCCCUUUUGUCGGGAAAGAAAAGCAGCAGGUUAAUACCCCGCUGUUCUGACGGUACCCAAAGAAUAAGCACCGGCUAACUUCGUG